CCUGCCUCCCAGAUACAUUGCAGGUGUGCCUUUUGUGUCAUAUGAGUGUCAGUAGGAAGCAGAGAAGAGAGAGACUAUUUCUAUGCUCAACUCAAUAUCCUGACCUAUGAUCAUCUGAAUGAUUAGUAGCCUAACAUU
ensembl:snoRNA Gm22425 predicted gene, 22425